CGUCAGCAGAGAGUGCGUUUAAGCAUGUUUGAUGUCAUUGUUGACGUUCCUAGGGAGGAGCUGCUUAGGAUACCCUUCAUCAUGCCAGAAAUUCAGAACGUGACUUCACCUUCAAGACCCUGUCCAGUGCCUGCAUAUGGGAUGCUGUGUCUUCAUUGCAGCCUAACUCUGAGGUAGGAGAUCUGUGCUGUGCAGAGUAUUCAUCUGGACGUGGUAGCUGUGCUUGCACACUGCCAGGCUCAGAGCCUGCACCCACUCCAG
rnacentral:lncRNA from 1 species